AUUGAACGCUGGCGGCAUGCUCUACACAUGCAAGUCGAACGGUAACAGGUCUUCGGAUGCUGACGAGUGGCGAACGGGUGAGUAAUACAUCGGAACGUGCCUAGUAGUGGGGGAUAACUACUCGAAAGAGUAGCUAAUACCGCAUGAGAUCUACGGAUGAAAGCAGGGGACCUUCGGGCCUUGUGCUACUAGAGCGGCUGAUGGCAGAUUAGGUAGUUGGUGGGGUAAAGGCUUACCAAGCCUGCGAUCUGUAGCUGGUCUGAGAGGACGACCAGCCACACUGGGACUGAGACACGGCCCAGACUCCUACGGGAGGCAGCAGUGGGGAAUUUUGGACAAUGGGCGAAAGCCUGAUCCAGCAAUGCCGCGUGCAGGAUGAAGGCCCUCGGGUUGUAAACUGCUUUUGUACGGAACGAAAAGCCUGGGGCUAAUACCUCGGGGGGAUGACGGUACCUGAAGAAUAAGCACCGGCUAACUACGUGCCAGCCGCCGCAGUAA
rnacentral:rRNA from 1 species